ACAUGCCUACAACAUAGCAUUAAUGCACAGGAUCCCAUUAGAACUCCGCAAUUAAUCACACUCAGGAUAGAGUAGUAUUAGGAUGGGUGACCACCCGGGAAGUCCUAGUGUUUUACAUGCC
rnacentral:rRNA from 1 species